CUCGGGGGGAGGGAACCCCUCAGCCCAGAUUGCGAGAGGGCACAGGCCAGGCCGAGGGACCCCACUGGUGCAUG
rnacentral:pre_miRNA from 1 species